rnacentral:rRNA from 1 species
CGGGUGAGUAAUGUAUGGGGAUCUGCCUGAUGGCGGGGGAUAACUACUGGAAACGGUAGCUAAUACCGCAUAACGUCGCAAGACCAAAGAGGGGGACCUUAGGGCCUCUUGCCAUCGGAUGUGCCCAGAUGGGAUUAGCUAGUAGGUGGGGUAAUGGCUCACCUAGGCGACGAUCCCUAGCUGGUCUGAGAGGAUGACCAGCCACACUGGAACUGAGACACGGCCCAG